UGGGGAAUCUUGGACAAUGGGGGCAACCCUGAUCCAGCCAUGCCGCGUGAGUGAUGAAGGCCUUAGGGUCGUAAAGCUCUUUCGCCUGUGAAGAUAAUGACGGUAGCAGGUAAAGAAACCCCGGCUAACUCCGUGCCAGCAGCCGCGGUAAUACGGAGGGGGUUAGCGUUGUUCGGAAUUACUGGGCGUAAAGCGCACGUAGGCGGACCAGAAAGUUGGGGGUGAAAUCCCGGGGGCUCAACCCCGGAACUGCCUCCAAAACUAUUGGUCUAGAGUUCGAGAGAGGUGAGUGGAAUUCCAAGUGUAGAGGUGAAAAUUCGUAGAUAUUUGGAGGAACACCAGUGGCGAAGGCGGCUCACUGGCUCGAUACUGACGCUGAGGUGCGAAAGUGUGGGGAGCAAACAGGAUUAGAUACCCCUGGUAGUCCACACCGUAAAACGAUGAAUGCCAGUCGUCGGGUAGCAUGCUAUUCGGUGACACACCUAACGGAUUAAGCAUUCCGCCUGGGGAGUACGGUCGCAAGAUUAAAA
rnacentral:rRNA from 1 species